AUUGAACGCUGGCGGCAUGCCUUACACAUGCAAGUCGAACGGUAACAGGUUAAGCUGACGAGUGGCGAACGGGUGAGUAAUAUAUCGGAACGUGCCCAGUCGUGGGGGAUAACGUAGCGAAAGCUACGCUAAUACCGCAUACGAUCUACGGAUGAAAGCGGGGGAUCGCAAGACCUCGCGCGAUUGGAGCGGCCGAUAUCAGAUUAGCUAGUUGGUGAGGUAAAGGCUCACCAAGGCGACGAUCUGUAGCUGGUCUGAGAGGACGACCAGCCACACUGGAACUGAGACACGGUCCAGACUCCUACGGGAGGCAGCAGUGGGGAAUUUUGGACAAUGGGCGCAAGCCUGAUCCAGCAAUGCCGCGUGCAGGAUGAAGGCCUUCGGGUUGUAAACUGCUUUUGUACGGAACGAAACGGUGAGCUCUAAUACAGUUUGCUAAUGACGGUACCGUAAGAAUAAGCACCGGCUAACUACGUGCCAGCCGCCGCCGUAA
rnacentral:rRNA from 1 species